CCUUUAUUCAAGAUAAGGUGGUAGUUUAUAUAAGCUUCCACAUAGUUUACAGAAACAAAGACACUGUGAUUGGCAAACUAAUAUUGUUUACCUUUUCCUUAAAACUGCCUACACCUUACACUAUAAAACCUAUACUAAUUCACACCCAGACAACCCAGUGGUCCCCAUCACACCUUAAGACUAUUUCUAUCUGCGCCACAAGCUCUGAAUUUCUAACUGCGUCAGAGGCUUGAAGGCCUCACAAGGCCCAAAUCUGAGGCCUAGACUGGAGUAGCUCAAAUUUCAUAACUCAUGUCCUCUUUCUCUCAAAAAUGCUGCAACACCAACCAGUACAGGACAAACUGGGAUAAACUGGGAAUUGGACCCCAAGCAGUACAGACUGAACUGGGAGUGAUUCCAAACCAGUUCAGGGGCUAAACUGGGAACUGGCAUAAACUGGGACCAGAGCCUGAACUGGGACCAGAGCCCCAGACUGAUCUGGGAGCUGCAGUGGUCACUCACAGACCCAGCACAGGUUCAUACUGGUUUGUACUGGUUCAUACUGGUCCAUAUUGCUCCAUAGUGAUUUAUACUGGUCUGUACUGAUCCACUGUCAGCAUGGAUUGUCACAAUGUCACUCUGGAUUGUCAUAUUGUCACCAUGGAUUGUCCCGUCCCAGUGUCACCAUGGAUGGUCCUGAUGUCACCAUGGAUUGUCCCGUCCCCACCAUGGAUAGUCCUAGUGUCACCAUGGAUGGUCCUGAUGUCACCAUGGAUUGUCCCCUCACUGCCGUGGGAACCCCGUGAUGACAGCGUUGAUGAGGGUCCUUCUCCCCCGUGACUGAGCCGCAGGGCCACAUCAGAGGUCUAGCAGGGAGAGGAGGAUGAUGAAGAUCUUUCUCCUUCACAGUUGGCAUGCAAUGACCCAUUCGGACCACAGGUGAUGGCAAUAAUGACAAUGGAGACCCUUCACUACCAUGGACUGCCCUUGAUGACAUGGAGACCCUUCAUGUCCAUGGUUGGCCUUUGAUGACAAUGGAGACCCUUCAUGUCCGUGGUUGAUGAUGAUGAUGAUAAAGCAAAAGACCCAUCAAUACCGUGGAUGGACUCAUCUCCAUCAUGGACAUUCUGCAACGAUGAUGACCCUUCAUGAGCACAAAUGGUCACUGACGAUGGCAAUGAAGACCCUUCACAACCACAGAUGGUCCAUGAUGAUGACGAUGACGAAGGCAAAGACCCAUCGAGACCAUGGAUGGACCCUUGAAGACCACGGAUGGACCCAUCUUUGAUGAUGACAGUGACGGUGAAGACCCAUCAAGGCCACGCAUGGAAUCACGACCAUCAGAGACAUUCCACGAUGAUGACCCUUAAUGACCGCAGACGUUCCUUGACAAGGGCGACGAUGACCCAUCACGGCCAUGAAGGUUCUGUGACGAUGCCAAUGCCAACGACCAGUCACGAGCAUGAACGUUCCAUGAUGAUGGCAGUGCCUCCCCAUGACCCCAGCCAGCCCCAUCCCCCUCCAGUUCCCGCAGGAUCUGCAAACACGGCUCCACCACGUGCCACAUCUGCAGCACAGUGGCCACCAUCAAACCCCACCUGGAACCCUCCAGGACCCCCCAGAUCCUCCCCAGGAUUCCCCAAAAGCCAUCCUAGAACUUCCAGGAUCCCUUGGGACCUCCCAAACCCCACCCAGGACCCCUUGAGGUCCUCCAGGACCCCCCAAAUCCCCCCCAGUACCCUCCUGAACUCCCAGAUUCCCUCAGGAACCCCAAAUCCUCCCCAGGACCACCAAACCCCCCAGGGCCCCGUUUUUAUAAUGCCUCAAAUUGGGAUUAAAAGUUGACUUUCCAGGAAAUUCAUGGGGUUUUGCUGGGAAAAAAGAGAAAUUCACUGGAAAAUCAGCGUUUUAUCCCAAUCUGAAGCAUUAAAAUCCAGGAAUUUCCUGGAAAAUUGACUUGUUAUGCCAAUUUGGGACAUUAAAAACUGAGAAUCCCAGGUUGGGACAUCUGGGGAGUCCUAAGUCCCACUUUUGGGGAUUUCUAUUAUUUUAGGGGUUCCCAUGGAAUUCCUGGAAUUUGGGGGAGCCUGGUCUCAUUUUUGGGGUGUCCCUACCCCGUCUUCCCUCCCCCUCUUCUCCAUUUCGGUUUCCACCUCAAUGGCCACGCCCCUUUCUCCAAUCCAACCAAUCAGAGCUUGGGGCGGAGCCUGGGGGCAGGGCCUGGGGUGGGGGGUGGUGAAUGAGGUCCCGGAAGGUAAUUGGGGUCCUGGAAGGGGAAAGGUCGCCUUGAGAGUGGGGGGCUCAGGGUCCUGUCUGGGGAAAUGAAGGCCCUGAGGGGCUAAGUGGGAUCCUGGAAGGGUAAAUGAGGGCUCUGAAGGGUUCAAUGGGGUCCUACAGAUGGAAUUCACAACCCUCGUUUAACCUGCCAAGACCCCCAUUUACCCUCUUGGCCCCCCAGUUUACCCUUUCAGGACCCUAAAUGACAUCUGUAGGACCCUCAUUCCCCUGCCAGGACCCAACUCACCCCCUCAAGACCCUGUUUUCCCUUUCAGGACUCCACGUGUCCCCACCACCAUGGAAACAGCAUCCGAACGUGACUGGGCCUUGCUGGGUUGGUCCCUGUCCCCAAGUGUCCCCAGUGAUGUCACCCCGGGAAUCCCCAUCAGGAUUUGGGGCAGUUUUAAUGAAAACUCUCAGAAAAUUCCCCAAAUUUGACUCAAAUCCCACCCUGAGAUAGGGGGCGGGGACAAAUGACACCAGUGAUGUCCCUGAUGAUGUUACCACCCCGAUGACAUCACAGCAGUGACAUCAGUGUCCUCACAGUAGUCUCGGGAUGUCCUCGAUGGCUCUUUGGCACUGCUCGGCCACUGCGCGGCCACCGGGUCCACCAUGGCAACUUGAGAGGAGCGUGCGGAUGUCCCCAAGUGUCCUCAGCAGGUGACGUGUGGCCAGGCAGGCGCUGGCCUCCCACAGCCGCUCAGCCUCGGUCGCCGCGGCCACCAAGGCCGCAGGGACAUCGGGGGACAUCUCAUUUGUCCCCUUCAGGGUGGCCUCGAUGUCCCCGAGCCGGCGCUGC
rnacentral:lncRNA from 1 species